ensembl:lncRNA
GCCUGCGCCGGGCGCCAUGGCGGCGAGAGGUGUCCCCAGGCAGCACGGGGCGCGUCUGGCCGGGCUGGUGUUCCUGGGGGACAGGGACCGUGUGGGCCUGAGAACGCCAAAAUAAUGUCCUGAUUGAAAGGGUCAGUGCGCGAACGCUCCUGUGUAUUUUACAGGGGAAAAACGUGAUGCUCGGAGUGGGUGGAGUGAAGUCCAGAGAGGUCGCACCUCAUCCCCCAUGGAUCCUCCUCUGGAUCUCUGCGGCUGCGGAACCCGCAUGUCGUGUGUCAAGCAGUUUUUUACAGGCUGGGAAAUUAAAGCAGAGCCAGUGAGCUGCACUGCCAGGCAUUUCAAAUGAAAAACGCUGUUAGCUAGCUCAGCAAAUACUAGUGAAGCUGAACUGCCAAUUUGCAAAUAGACUGGCUAUAUCAAGAAAGAUGACAUUGGCCUUCCAUUUAAUAGUUCAGUAAUGACAACUAUUUUUGUCAACAUUUCUAAUCACGGGCACUCUUAGUGAUAUCAAGAGUGAAAAUUUUCAGCUGUAUGGAAGUCUUGCAAAGUCAAAUGAAGAACUUCAGGUGGCACCUGCUAUUCCUAAGUGACUUUAAUUCCUUUUUUGGAUUGACCAAACAAAUUUAAUUCCUUUUUUGGAUUGACAGAUCAAAUUUGCCAUCAACUCUGCCACUUUCCAACCAAAACUGGUAGGAAACAUACUAAGACAGAAAAAGAGAUAAUUAUGGCAAGAAGUAUUUUCUGUCUGGACAACUAAAUAUUCUGAUGUUGUUGGAACCAAUACCUCUCUUUCAUCUUCUUUCUUUCAUCACCUUAUUUCUUUAUCUUUGACUAGAAAAAUAUACAUUAACUCCUGGAAAAGCUUACAAAAAUCAAAAAGCUUCGUUGGAAUGACCAUCUGAGAUGAAGAAUAGUGGGGUUUUCUACACGACUUCUGAAGACUGUCUCUACAUAAGAAAGGAAAUGUAAUGAGGCAAAGCUGAAGUGUAUGCUCACCUGCAGUGGUUGAGGCACUCACCGCGGGUAUCAGGCUGCGAGACAGAACAUGCCCCUUGUCAGGGAGCCCUUCAGCUAGAUGGUAUUUAGAGGUCAUGAGAAGAAACAUGCUGAAGACUUACAGCUGAGGUGAGGAGAAACUCUUAAAGAGCUUUAGGAGAGGUUGUUGAGUUGGGAGGAUAAGAAAAUAAAACAUGAGUUCAAAAUAAACCAGGCUUCACCAGGUUUACUGUUUGCAGAAUUAAAUGAUUAUUCCCAGGAACUCACCACAACUCUGUGUGCUGUGACUGCUCAGAUAAAACAACUUCUAAAAUAACCCCUUCAGUAUUUAGAGGUCAAGCCCUACCUCUGAUCAGCUUAUGAUGCAAUUUAGUAAUUUUCCAUUUCCUAAUUGAUAAUUUUCAAACACAUGCUUUUGAUGCUUUUUUUCAAGAAGCAUUCUCUCUUCUCUGAAAAAGUCAUUGUAAACACCUCAUAGCCACCUAAUUAUUUUCUCUGAAAGUCCUCAGGUCCACUAAACUGUCGAUGAUAAUUGAGUGGUUGCUAUACUGAAACUGCUGCCUCCGAUUGAUUGUUUCUGUUUCCUGUUACUUUCUACCUCAUGGCUCCCAGUCCAAGUACUUCUGUUCAGGCCUUUUAUUUGUUGAGCACAAUGUAGUCAACACACCUGCCUGUGUCUAUAAAAUUUAUGGUAAUGCAAGUAAAUAAAUGUGAAUAUACCAC